GCGGCAGGCUUAACACAUGCAAGUCGAGGGGUAACAGGUCACUUCGGUGAUGCUGACGACCGGCGCACGGGUGAGUAACGCGUAUGGAACCUACCUGAAACAGGGGGAUAGCUUCCGGAAACGGGGAUUAAUACCGCAUACGAUUCAUUUGUGGCCUCACAAAUGGAUAAAAGCUACGGCGGUUUCAGAUGGCCAUGCGUACCAUUAGUUAGUUGGUGAGGUAAAGGCUCACCAAUGCGAUGAUGGUUAGGGGUCCUGAGAGGGUAGUCCCCCACACUGGUACUGAGACACGGACCAGACUCCUACGGGAGGCAGCAGUGAGGAAUAUUGGUCAAUGGGCGCUAGCCUGAACCAGCCAUGCCGCGUGCAGGAAGACGGCCCUACGGGUUGUAAACUGCUUUUCUGCAGGAAGAAUAUAUAGUCUUAGGGGUAUAUUGACGGUACUGCAGGAAUAAGCAUCGGCUAACUCCGUGCCAGCAGCCGCGGUAAUACGGAGGAUGCAAGCGUUAUCCGGAUUCAUUGGGUUUAAAGGGUGCGCAGGCUGUAAAGCAAGUCAGUGGUGAAAGCCCUGGGCUUAACUCAGGGAUUGCCAUUGAAACUGUUUUACUAGAGUGUAGUAGAGGACGGCGGAAUGAGUUGUGUAGCGGUGAAAUGCAUAGAUAUAACUCAGAACACCUAUUGCGUAGGCAGCUGUCUAUACUACAACUGACGCUGAGGCACGAAAGCGUGGGGAGCGAACAGGAUUAGAUACCCUGGUAGUCCACGCUGUAAACGAUGAUCACUCGUUGUUGGCUACUUAGUAGUCAGUGACCAAGGGAAACCGAUAAGUGAUCCACCUGGGGAGUACGUCGGCAACGAUGAAACUCAAAGGAAUUGACGGGGGCCCGCACAAGCGGAGGAACAUGUGGUUUAAUUCGAUGAUACGCGAGGAACCUUACCUGGGCUUAAAUGCUGGCUGCAUUGGAGGGAAACCUUCAUUUCCUACGGGACCGCCAGCAAGGUGCUGCAUGGUUGUCGUCAGCUCGUGCCGUGAGGUGUCGGGUUAAGUCCCAUAACGAGCGCAACCCCUUAUCGCUAGUUGCCAGCAUGUAAUGGUGGGGACUCUAGCGAGACUGCCGGUGUAAACCGGAGGAAGGUGGGGAUGACGUCAAAUCAGCACGGCCCUUACGUCCAGGGCUACACACGUGUUACA
rnacentral:rRNA from 1 species